UUCACCUGACAAAAGUCAUUCUCAUGCGAUCCUCUCCUGUUUUCCGUGCCAUGUUUACUUCUGACUUCAAAGAGUACAAUACCAUUCCCGGAGAAAAAAUAUGAAGAUUUUGUUUUGUUUCUGCGAAGUUUUUAUCCAGGAGAGCAUUUAGAGCUAAAUGUUUCAGUAAUAGAAAGCAUCCUUCCUUUGGCAAGAGAAUAUGCCAUUGAUGCCGUGAUGAAAAACUGCCAUGAGUGGUUACUAGUAGAUAUUAAAACUCGAACAGAAGAUGUUCACUACCAUACGAAAUGCUUCUAUCUCGCUGCAGUGUACAAUUUUGAUGAACUCUACAACAAAAUGCUUGAAAAACUGAGAACCGCUGCUGUCAAUACCUAUGAAAAUGCACCUAGUUUCAAAAUGCUUCCAUCAGAAGACAAGGCCAGUUUACUUAAAAAACGCUGUGAAGAUGUUGAAAAAAAUGAUGCAAACCUCGAAAAGCAAAUUUCAAACAUUAAAAAAAAACAUAAAUAAAUGUACAAUUACGUGUAUAAAAUGUGGCUACCCAACCAACAUACGCGAAGGAGACAAAAAUAGACUUUUGUAUCAAAACCCUUAUCCCUAGCCAUCUACGGGAAGAUACCGAGUAUUUUUUU